GGCAGCGGGACCUUCCGGCGGGAGCCGAGGCCCGGCUCUCGGCUGGGCAGCCCCCCAGGGCCGGCCCGGGAGGCCCGGGGUGUGGCGGGGCCCGGCAAGGGGGGGCGCCCCCUCCCCGCCCAGGGCCCCCGCGAGGGGCGCGCCCGCCUCCAGCCAGGGACAACCCGAGUCCCCCCGGCGCGGCGUCGGAGGCGUCCGCAGGCAUCAGCCUCCCCCUCUAGAGGCCGGGCGAGGAUCAGUCCCGCGCCACGAGGUGAAGGCGUCGCCCCGGGCCCUGCACGCGCAGCUGGCGAGGCUCUGUCGUCGGCGGGGCGCGUCGCGCGCCGCCCUGCUCGGGGGCCCCUGUCCCCGGCCUCGGCACAGCUGCUGGCCGCUGCAGGCCGGGGCCCAACAGACUGUUUGGGUGCAUGUUGGCCCCUGGAUCUCAAACCCACUGGUAAUCCGGUCUCUCCUUGAGACCCGUGCUCCUGGAGGCAGCGAGGGUGGGAGCUUGGGUGAGUGAGUUUUCCGGAAGCCCGGCUGCUCGUGGAUACCCAAAGCUGCGUGUUCCGAGAGGUCUGGUCAGAGCGCAGAGGAGCGACCCUGAAGCUGCGCAGCAGGUACCAGCACCCAGCCUGGGGCCAGGGCGCUCUGCUCCCGCGUGUGGACUGAGUUGUGUGUGUGGCCGUAGCAAUCACCGGUGUCUGCAGUCCUGUGAAAUGAGGGGACCAAGACGAUGACCUCUAGUCUACUCCGUUUGAACGACCUUUUUAUUGGUGUGCAUGGCACGCAGAGACUUGAGUAAAUCCUGUCUCAGCCAUUAAGCACCUGCCGCCAUGAGUUGGGCAGACAAAACAAUUGUUUGGAAGGUUUACUGAGCACCGGUUUCCUGUCCCAGAGCUUUCAUUACAGGCUCAGAAAAGUAAUGAGUGGUGUGCAAAGCAAGACAUUUCUGAAGAAGUGGAGUUACAAAGAAAGGACGUCGUAGUCUGGGGACGUGUGCCCCGGUCUUUCUCCUCAGUUAGCUCUUACUGGCUUCCCAACGUCCCUCCUCUCCUGGGAACAGAGAAAGAUGGAAAAGCCCAUGGGCCAAAGAAAGAAGACACAGAGCCCAGAGGAAGACGUAGGUGUGCAGAAGGACACUGCUAAGGAAGAAAAGGUGUGCGGGGCAAAACGGCCCAGCAAGAGAGGCACUUUGGCUAAAAAGCACAGUAAGGCACCCAGCCUGAGUCCUGAAGAUGAGGAACACAUCUUUGAUGCUUUCGAUGCUUCCUUUAAAGAUGACUUUGAGGGAGUUCCCGUAUUCAUUCCUUUUCAGAGAAAGAAACCCUACGAGUGCAGCGAGUGUGGCCGCAUCUUUAAGCACAAGACAGACCACAUUCGCCAUCAGCGAGUUCACACCGGAGAGAAGCCCUUCCAGUGCACUCAGUGUGGAAAGACAUUUCGGCACAGCUCCGAUGUCACGAAGCACCAAAGAAUUCACACGGGAGAAAAGCCCUUUAAAUGCAGCGACUGCGGGAAAGCCUUUAACUGUGGCUCGAAUCUCCUGAAACAUCAGAAGACACACACUGGAGAGAAACCGUAUGAAUGUAAGGAAUGCGGGAAGACCUUUGCCUACAGCUCGUGUCUUAUCCGCCAUCGGAAGCAGCACCCAUGGAAGAAGCACUGAGCACAGGGAACCGGUCUGCUUGGCCUCUUGCUGCCGCCUCUGCCUGCGGCGUCCACUGGGCUUUGGCCUUCUCACCUGCUCCUUGAAGACGCUGGUCUGCAGACUCGUGGCCCACUGGGUCCCAAGCCCAUACCCAUGCAGCCUGGCCUGUGACCCCAAGCUACAUGGCAGUGCUCCUGCGGUGAGCACUAGGGACCUGGGUGCCCACUAGACUGGGCCAGACUUCCACUGUCCCUGCUUGGCUGGCUGCGGUGACAGUCCUUGUCAGGCUGGAGCACCAGUCCUUGAACUCAGCCCCUGUCCCCAGGAGCUGGGAUCCCCUGUGUGUCCUCCCGGCCCAGCCGUCACCUCAGAUAAAUGGCCUCACAUACCCAUAUGGACCACUUGGGACCCAGCUCCUCAGGGCCUGAAUGCUGCCACCAUGGGAGCUUUGUGCCCUGGCCACAUGAUGGGGGCUCUGGGAUGCUGACAGCAGCUUCGAUCCAGCCCGCAUCUGCCACACAGGAGACCUUCAGACACGAGGUGGUGUGCCCUGCCCCCCAGGGGCCAGCUCUCCAUUCAGGGCCGACAGGACGGGUCCCCAGAGGGGAAGGACAGGUGGAGAUCAUUCUGACAAACACCCUCCUCCAGGCUGUGCCCAGCAGCGCCCUGCAGCGCCCAGACCCUGGCCUCACUGGCAGCAGGCAGACAGAUGGGCUCAUCGUUAUUUCUUUUGAGUUCUCCAUCACAACAUCACACCACCACCGAGCACCGAGGCCAGAUCUUUCAGAUUAGUCUCUGUUUUGGUGUUUUUUGUCGAUGUUCAAAUGAUACUCACAUGCCAGAAAAAAGAAAACCUUCGGAAUAACCCAAGUCAAGGAAAACAACAUAAUGAAAGUUAUAAAAUACGUAAGCCUCAAUGACAG